GAUGAACGCUAGCUACAGGCUUAACACAUGCAAGUCGAGGGGAAACGACAUCGAAAGCUUGCUUUUGGUGGGCGUCGACCGGCGCACGGGUGAGUAACGCGUAUCCAACCUGCCCACCACUUGGGGAUAACCUUGCGAAAGUAAGACUAAUACCCAAUGAUAUCCCACGAAGGCAUCGGAAUGGGAUUAAAGAUUUAUCGGUGAUGGAUGGGGAUGCGUCUGAUUAGCUUGUUGGCGGGGUAACGGCCCACCAAGGCUACGAUCAGUAGGGGUUCUGAGAGGAAGGUCCCCCCACAUUGGAACUGAGACACGGUCCAAACUCCUACGGGAGGCAGCAGUGAGGAAUAUUGGUCAAUGGGCAGAGCCUGAACCAGCCAAGUAGCGUGAGGGAGGACGGUCCUACGGAUUGUAAACCUCUUUUGUCGGGAGUAACGUGCGGGACGGUCCCGUAUUGAGAGUACCCGAAGAAAAGCAUCGGCUAACUCCGUG
rnacentral:rRNA from 1 species